UUAUGGCAGGAGAUAGAGAGGAGGGUGGGGGGAUCUCAGACAAAGACAUUUCAGCAAAUCACUCCUGCACUGAGCUCAUUUCUCUGCAGUCGCCUUUCAGCUUUCAUUAUUUUGCACCUUUGUGUUUUUUUUUCUCCUCUGCCAAAUCUUCCCUCCCCCAAACUGAUUAAUCCGAUCAACAUGUUUUUCUUAUUCCACUAUAAGAGAUGUGUAUACAUGAUGUGUAUUCUGCCUGCAUUCAUCAGCGACUCCUACAAUGCAUCCCAAACAUUAAUCCUUCGUAAAGUUAGCGAGUGAUGCAAUCUUACUGCAAUGCUGUGCAGACCUCUGUGACUGCAGCCUUCUAUAGAGCAGAACCCAGUGGAGGACAAGUGCAAGUGCACCUGGACCAGGCAUCGCCCACCUAUUCAAACCGACCUAUUACCCCUCAUGUUCUGUAAAUAACCAGCCCUUUGACCUAUGAAAGAAGAGAUUACAGAUGCCUUUGUAUUAUGUUGGACAAUUGUAUAAAAGCCAAGCCUCCUGGCCGGUCCCAGACUAAUUCUCUGAAGGUCAUGUUGCCAGAUUGACUGAGGACCGGAUCCGGGUGGCGCAGGCGAACAAACGUCUCUUCUCUGGUCCACAGACAGGAUGGGAGCAGGUGUCUAUACUGAAGGUUCUUGGAUGCCGCUAUACGUUUACCUCACCUUCCUCUCUUCACACUACUUGAGUCAAUAAUUUCGACUGUGUUAACCAAUAAAAUUAUUUUA